GGAGUUAGCCGGUGCUUCUUCUGUGAGUGAUGUCCUUCCUGCCGGCUAUUAACCCGCAGGCCUUCUUCCUCACUGAAAGUGCUUUACAACCCGAAGGCCUUCUUCACACACGCGGCAUGGCUGGAUCAGGGUUGCCCCCAUUGUCCAAUAUUCCCCACUGCUUCCUCCCGUAGGAGUCUGGGCCGUGUCUCAGUCCCAGUGUGGCUGAUCAUCCUCUCAGACCAGCUACGGAUCGUCGCCUUGGUUAGCCGUUACCUCACCAACCAGCUAAUCCGACAUAGGCUCAUCCGAUAGCGCGAGGCCCGAAGGUCCCCCGCUUUCCCCCGUAGGGCGUAUGCGGUAUUAGCCUGGGUUUCCCCAGGUUAUCCCCCACUACCGGGCAGAUUCCUAUGCAUUACUCACCCGUCCGCCGCUCGCCACCAGGGAGCAAGCUCCCCGUGCUGCCGCUCGACUUGCAUGUGUUAGGCCUGCCGCCAGCGUUCAAUCUGAGCCAUGAUCAAACUCUGA
rnacentral:rRNA from 1 species